AUCCCUGGGGAAAGAGACGAGCAUAGGUUCCUCCCAAGAUGCCACCCGCUUCAUUCAAGUGUCUGGAAGCACUGUGUUCCUGUUAGAGCCACCAGCACAAGCACCAGACGAUGCUGAUCCAGGUGAAAGCCCCAGUGCAGCAGCAACAGCACAUGAUGGAGACGAUGAUGAGGAGGAGACCAUCUCUGUGGAUUCCAGAAGGCAUGAGGACCCAGAUGCUAUACAGUGGGAAAACCAGCCUGGCAACAUAGUGCGUAUUAAUAAAAGGACACCACAUCCUGCCAAAUUCCAGCUGCGCUAAUUGUAUUGUGUUCACAGAGCUCACAAGCUAUCAGAAAGUUGUAUGGCAACCACCUCCGGCGCCAAAUAGAACUGGCAGACAUAGACAUUCAGUACAAGAAGAAAAAGAAUCUUGCACUGGAGUCCGAAAUAAAAAAGAGGACAAUUAGGAAACUGGACCUUGAAAUAAAAAAACUUGAGAGGGAGGUGAGAUAUGCCUUCAAUGUACACUGUAUGCUAACUGUAACACAAAUGUAUUAAUCAUUAUUUUUCUUUCCUCCCCCAGCUCCAAGAAGAUGACACAGCUCAAAAUAAAAAUUAGGUAUAUUCUCGUAAAGUCAAGUGAGCCAUGACAUAUGAGCUCUUAUUGUGAGCACACAGGACGGUGGCAUCUUUCUAAGGUAUAUUUUAUUUUCACAGCAAUCAGUACAACCAAGUCAUCGUUAUAAGGCACCGGCCUCUUUUGCC